ACACACAACGGCCAUUAUGAGUAUCUUGUUAUGCCAUUCGAUGCCUCGGACAAGGGUAUUGGGGCUGUUCUAUCUCGGAAUGGGUGACCGUUGGCUUACAUGAGUAAGGCCAUUAGGCCUAGGAAGCAGGGGUGGUCGGUUUAUUCGAAGGAAAUGCUCGCCAUCAUGGAAGCCAUUCGUCUAUGGCGUCCGUACCUAAUGGGCCGCCACUUUCAGAUUUGGACUGAUCAUAAGAGCCUUCGUUUUUUCUUGGAACAAAAGGUAGUGACUCCAAAGCAGCAACGAUGGGUUUCGAAACUCAUGGGGUAUGAUUAUGAAAUCAUGUACAGAAUAGGCCGCACCAACUCAGCAGCGGAUGGGCUUUCUAGACGCCACUCUUCAAAAGUGGCCACAGUAGCAUCUCUUGAUCACACGGGUUCCAUGGUUGUGAGUGGGCCUCUUUUCCACUUAUGGGCUGAACUACGGGAAGCCAACAUGCAUGACCCCUAUUUGCAGGAUUUACGUGGAAAGCUGGUGGAGCAUCCAACACAACACCCAUAUUUGAAGAACCAUAACGGUAUUCUAUUAUACAAACAGAGGCUCAUAAUUCCACCCACCUCUGCUAUGCGCACAACCCUUCUCCAUGAAGCACACAACUCUAAGAUGGGUGGCCAUUCCGGUGUUUUUUGCACACAUCGACGACUGGUACAAUCUUUUUUUUAGGAGGGCAUGAAGGAUGACGUACGGCGACAUGUGGUGGCCUGCGAUGACUGCCAUAGAAACAAGUAAGAAGCACAAGCUCUUACGGGACUCUUGCAACACCUUCCAAUUCCCACUCAAGUCUGGGAGGACAUCUCGGAUUUUGUGGAUGGGCUGCCCUCCUCAGCUGAAAAGACCACGGUGAUGGUUGUGGUUGAUCGUUUCACAAAGUAUGCUCACUUUGUGUCUUUAUCCCACCCUUAAACAUCUAAGAAGAUUGCUGAGAUCUUUGUGCAGCAAAUUAUUCGUCUCCAUGGUAUUCCCAAAUCUAUGGUGAGUGAUCGCGAUCCCACUUUUGUGAGCACAUUUUGGAAAGAAUUAGUUCGCUUGUAGGGUACUCACUUGAAGACAAGCUUCGCUUACCACCCUCAUUCGGACGGCCAAACUAAGGUGGUUAAUCAUUGCCUUGAGCAAUACCUCUGUUGCUUGUGCAGCCAACACCCACGGUAGUGGGAGAACCGUCUAUCAUGGGCGGAAUUUUGGUAUAACUCCUCUUUCCAUUCUACAUUGGGCACAACACCAUUUCAGGCUUUGUAUGGCAGACCACCACCUACGGUGGUAAAUUAUUUGGUGGGAUCAUUAGUGAUUGAUGAGGUCAAUCAAGCUUUGCUGUCCAGAGAUGAACUUCUUCUUCAACUCAAAAACAAUCUCCAGCAAGCAAGUAAUCGCAUGAAGCAACUGGCGGACAAGAAGCGUCGCAAUUGCGUCUAUGAGGUUGAUGAUUGGGUCUUUCUCCGGCUCCAACCCUAUCGCCAGAGCACCGUCUUUCGCCGUGCUCACCAGAAACUUGCCAGCCAUUUUUUUGGGCCUUAUCAAAUUCUGGAACGCGUAGGGGCUGUAGCUUACAAAUUAGCUCUGCCGAACACUGCAAGGGUGCAUCCAGUGUUUCACGUCUCCCUCCUCGAGCCAAAAGUGGGUGAAACUUCCAGCAUGCUUCCAGACCUUCCCCCAUUUGUAGCAAAUCAUACUCCACAGCUCACUCCUCUCCUUAUUCGUGACUACCGCUGGGUCAAGCAAGGAGCUAAGUAUGUACCGGAAGCCUUGGUUCAAUAGAAAUCCGUUACCCCAGAAGAAGCCACAUGGGAGGAAGUGGCUGUUCUCUGCCAGCAGUUUCCAGACAUUAACCUUGAGGACAAGGAUCAUGUCCAAGGAGUGGCAAUUGAUAGGCACUUCACCGUAAGAACAAGGGGAUUAAUCCUAAGUAUCAGAAGGAGUAAUCCAAGGAGGAAGGGAAAAGAGUAAAGAGUCUUAAUAGAAGACUAUCUCUAUUACGUAGAGAUUAUCGUUAGUAGCACUAGUCUAUCAUUAUCUUUUAAGCUAUUGUUAUCCUUUAUUCAAUAUCAUUAGUUUGCAGGGUGUUAGUAGUUUAUCUAUUUAAGGAGAUGCAGUAGUCAGUAGUAGGUAUAUAUUUUAUUUGAUCAAUUGGUGUGUAAAGGUGUUUCCUACCUCAAGUGGAUGUUAUCAGCAAUAUCAUUCUCUA